UAGCCUUGACAUACUACAGAAUUUGACAGAGAUGUUGAAGUGCCUUCGGGAGCCUGAAAACAGGUGCUGCACGGCUGUCGUCAGCUCGUGUCGUGAGAUGUUGGGUUAAGUCCCGCAACGAGCGCAACCCUCAUCCUUAGUUGCUACCAGUUCGGCUGGGCACUCUAAGGAGACUGCCCUCGCAAGGGGGAGGAAGGUGAGGACGACGUCAAGUCAUCAUGGCCCUUAUGGCUGGGGCUACACACGUGCUACAAUGGGAUGUACAAAAAGUUACGAUACCGUGAGGUGGAGUUAAUCUUUUAAAACAUUUCCCAGUUCGGAUUGUUCUCUGCAACUCGAGAACAUGAAGCCGGAAUCACUAGUAAUCGUAAAUCAGCAUGUUACGGUGAAUACGUUCCACGGGUCU
rnacentral:rRNA from 1 species